rnacentral:lncRNA from 1 species
AUAGCCUCUUCAUCUCCUCCCACUUCUUAAAUUUCAAAAUCUCUCCCUUUUUUUCAAAAAAAGUCUUUGCUUGUGAUUUAAAACUUAGACAUGUUUUAAUAAUUAGAAACUUUGGCCUCAUGCCAAUGAAUUUUCAAACUUUUUCUUAAUCAAAUUUGUAAAUAAACUUAAUCAUAUUGACUUAAAAUUUCAAAAAAAAAACAAAAAGAACUAACAACUCCAUUCAAACUUUUGCCCCU